GGCAGAGAUGCCUUAGUGCCUUCGGGAACCGUGAGACAGGUGCUGCAUGGCUGUCGUCAGCUCGUGUUGUGAAAUGUUGGGUUAAGUCCCGCAACGAGCGCAACCCUUAUCCUUUGUUGCCAGCGGCUCGGCCGGGAACUCAAAGGAGACUGCCGGUGAUAAACCGGAGGAAGGUGGGGAUGACGUCAAGUCAUCAUGGCCCUUACGGCCAGGGCUACACACGUGCUACAAUGGCGCAUACAAAGAGAAGCGACCUCGCGAGAGCAAGCGGACCUCAUAAAGUGCGUCGUAGUCCGGAUUGGAGUCUGCAACUCGACUCCAUGAAGUCGGAAUCGCUAGUAAUCGUAGAUCAGAAUGCUACGGUGAAUACGUUCCCGGGCCUUGUACACACCGCCCGUCACACCAUGGGAGUGGGUUGCAAAAGAAGUAGGUAGCUUAACCUUCGGGAGGGCGCUUACCACUUUGUGAUUCAUGACUGGGGUGAAGUCGUAACAAGGUAGGCGUAGCGAG
rnacentral:rRNA from 1 species